GACGAACGCUGGCGGCGUGCUUAACACAUGCAAGUCGAACGGAAAGGCCCUGCUUUUGUGGGGUGCUCGAGUGGCGAACGGGUGAGUAACACACGAGUAACCUGUCCUUGACUUUGGGAUAACUUCAGGAAACUGGGGCUAAUACCGGAUAGGAUCUCCUGCUGCAUGGUGGGGGUUGGAAAGUUUCGGCGGUUGGGGAUGGACUCGCGGCUUAUCAGCUUGUUGGUGGGGUAGUGGCUUACCAAGGCUUUGACGGGUAGCCGGCCUGAGAGGGUGACCGGCCACAUUGGGACUGAGAUACGGCCCAGACUCCUACGGGAGGCAGCAGUGGGGAAUAUUGCACAAUGGGCGGAAGCCUGAUGCAGCAACGCCGCGUGCGGGAUGACGGCCUUCGGGUUGUAAACCGCUUUCGCCUGUGACGAAGCGUGAGUGACGGUAAUGGGUAAAGAAGCACCGGCUAACUACGU
rnacentral:rRNA from 1 species